AUUGAACGCUGGCGGCAUGCCUUACACAUGCAAGUCGAACGGCAGCGGACCUUCGGGUGCCGGCGAGUGGCGAACGGGUGAGUAAUAUAUCGGAACGUACCUUUCAGUGGGGGAUAACGUAGCGAAAGUUACGCUAAUACCGCAUAUUCUGUGAGCAGGAAAGCAGGGGAUCGCAAGACCUUGCGCUGAUGGAGCGGCCGAUAUCAGGAUUAGCUAGUUGGUGAGGUAAAGGCUCACCAAGGCGACGUAUCUGUAGCGGGUCUGAGAGGAUGAUCUGCCACACUGGAACUGAGACACGGUCCAGACUCCUACGGGAGGCAGCAGUGGGGAAUUUUGGACAAUGGGCGCAAGCCUGAUCCAGCCAUGCCGCGUGAGUGAAGAA
rnacentral:rRNA from 1 species